rnacentral:rRNA from 1 species
UACGGGGGGGGUAAGCGUUGUUCGGAAUUACUGGGCGUAAAGAGCGUGUAGGCGGCCUGACAAGUCUGCUGUGAAAACUCGAGGCUCAACCUCGAGAUGUCGGCGGAAACUGUCUGGCUAGAGUCCGGGAGAGGGAAGCGGAAUUCCGGGUGUAGCGGUGAAAUGCGUAGAUAUCAGGAGGAACACCGGUGGUGUAGACGGCUUUCUGGACCGUAACUGACGCUGAGACACGAAAGCGUGGGUAGCAAACAGG